UGUGGUCAAGUUUGCUUGAAAUGCUUUUGGAUUUAAACACCUACCUGGGGAGGUCUCUGUAGGUCUGGAGGGAGGAGAACGUACUAAGCAGACUCUGCUUCUUCACAUCGAUGGAAAACUACGAAAGAGAGAUGGCUUACUCAAAAGAGAGGGGUGAUGCCGAAGGGGACACAGUGCGUGAAGUGGUGAUCAAUGACGACCGAUACCAGAGGGAGAGCCCCGAGUGGUUGGAGAUUGAGCUCGGCCACCAUAUUUUUUCAGGCCACUUAUUUGGGUGAUCGACGGGAUGAUUUGGCGGACGAUUCGUAAAAUCGUGGUUGUGCUGCUAAGAAGACGCAGCUGGAUUGGAGCAGGAAAUCCUACAGGUCAGGAGAAUCGAGAAGGUGAUCAGGCUGCUUAGAGUAGUGGUAUUUGAGUUACAGCAUUAUUGUGAGUUUCGUUAUGUUCAUUUCGAACUUACCAAUUUGGAAUUUUUGAGUGUGCUGUAAUAAGAAAUUGAGGAGUUGGGUAAUGUAAUAUUGAGUGGUGUGAGGCGUGUUACUCUGAAAGAAAAAAUUUAGAUUGGUAUUUGUUUUUUUAAUUAUUUCAUGUUUCGGAUUUGAAUUUAUUAUUUAAAAUUCGGGGCGUGACAGUUUGGUAUCAGAGCGUAAGGUGCAUAUUCGGUGAUGUGUCAAUACUUUCGGAGUGAUGGCCCGUCUGCAGCGGAUCCCCAUCGUGUGCUCUUCGGUAUUGGCUAAGUCA